GCUUAACACAUGCAAGUCGAGCGAGAAUCGUUUAUUGAAGGCUUCGGCUGGAAAUAGAUGAGGAAAGCGGCGAACGGGUGAGUAACGCGUGGGCAACCUGGCCUUAAGAAAAGGAUAGCCCCCGGAAACGGGGAGUAAUACUUUAUGAGAAUGAAAGAGGGCAUCCUACUUUCAUUCAAAGCGCAAGGGCUUAAGGAUGGGCCCGCGUAUCGUUAGCUAAUUGGUGAGAUAACAGCCCACCAAGGAAACGAUGAGUAGCCGGUCUGAGAGGGCGAACGGCAACAUUGGAACUGAGAGACGGUCCAAACUCCUACGGGAGGCAGCAGUGGGGAAUAUUGCGCAAUGGAGAAGAACUCUGACGCAGCAAUACCGCAUGAGCGAAGAAGGUCUUCGGAUCGUAAAGCUCUGUUAUCAGGGAAGAAGAAAAUGACGGUACCUGAUGAGCAAGUCCCGGCUAACUACGUGCCAGCAGCCGCCGUAA
rnacentral:rRNA from 1 species